GUUUUGGAGGAGUUUAGCGGGAGAUUGGCAGGAAAAGCUGUGGGGAGACACACAAGGCAAGAAUAAGAAAUGAUGCUACAUCAUGAUAUAGGGUCAUCCUGAUGGAGCUUCUAAGAAAAAUAUCAAAUGGCAACUAGAUGAAGCCAGAUGCUGGGAAGAGACCCAGCACUUCAAGUGCUGCUGUUGCAACCAUUAUCCUCAGAGGCUCAGCAAAAUACAGGAGGAGGAAGAGGAAGAAGAAGGAAGAGGAAAAAGAAGAUAAUUGGGCACCUACCAACACCAACUAGCAGUAACCAUGCAAAACUAUAUAAUUUGCUCUCGCACCCCCCACAACGUUCCCACCACACACCCUGGUAUCUUUCCUCCCAUAUCUAUCACUUUCCCCAUCACUCUCCAAAUUGACUCUAGCUCUAUCGCUAACAUUUACCACCUGGGGAUACUGUUGGACCUAGAACUAUCCCUGGGUUCCAAGGCAGAUAUUGUGCCCCAGAAUUGUUACCAGCAUUCCUGACUUUGCCGGUUGCACUCACUGCUAGAGAAUCACAGAGCCAUAGAAAUUUAGAGUUUGCUGCUCUAAAGUUUGCUGCCCCUGCUCAGUGCAGCAAACUGCUACAUUAUCCUUGACAGAUACCUAGAUCCUUUUCACAAACUGGGUCUCCCCAAUCCUAUAUAUGCGCAUUUGGUUUUGCUUUUGCUUUUACUUAAAUGCGGGACUUUA